GAUGAACGCUGGCGGCGUGCUUAACACAUGCAAGUCGAACGAUGAAGCCCAGCUUGCUGGGUGGAUUAGUGGCGAACGGGUGAGUAACACGUGAGUAACCUGCCCUUAACUCUGGGAUAAGCCUGGGAAACUGGGGCUAAUACCGGAUAGGAGCGUCCACCGCAUGGUGGGGGUUGGAAAGAUUUAUCGGUUUUGGAUGGACUCGCGGCCUAUCAGCUUGUUGGUGAGGUAAUGGCUCACCAAGGCGACGACGGGUAGCCGGCCUGAGAGGGUGACCGGCCACACUGGGACUGAGACACGGCCCAGACUCCUACGGGAGGCAGCAGUGGGGAAUAUUGCACAAUGGGCGCAAGCCUGAUGCAGCGACGCCGCGUGAGGGAUGACGGCCUUCGGGUUGUAAACCUCUUUCAGUAGGGAAGAAGCGAAAGUGACGGUACCUGCAGAAGAAGCACCGGCUAACUACGCG
rnacentral:rRNA from 1 species